GGGUUGUGAGGUUAAGCGACUAAGCGUACACGGUGGAUGCCCUGGCAGUCAGAGGCGAUGAAGGACGUGCUAAUCUGCGAUAAGCGUCGGUGAGGUGAUAUGAACCGUUAUAACCGGCGAUUUCCGAAUGGGGAAACCCAGUGUGUUUCGACACUCUAUCAUUAACUGAAUCCAUAGGUUAAUGAGGCGAACCGGGGGAACUGAAACAUCUAAGUACCCCGAGGAAAAGAAAUCAACCGAGAUUCCCCCAGUAGCGGCGAGCGAACGGGGAGCAGCCCAGAGCCUGAAUCAGUGUGUGUGUUAGUGGAAGCGUCUGGAAAGGCGCGCGAUACAGGGUGACAGCCCCGUACACAAAAAUGCACAUGCUGUGAGCUCGAUGAGUAGGGCGGGACACGUGGUAUCCUGUCUGAAUAUGGGGGGACCAUCCUCCAAGGCUAAAUACUCCUGACUGACCGAUAGUGAACCAGUACCGUGAGGGAAAGGCGAAAAGAACCCCGGCGAGGGGAGUGAAAAAGAACCUGAAACCGUGUACGUACAAGCAGUGGGAGCCUCUUUAUGGGGUGACUGCGUACCUUUUGUAUAAUGGGUCAGCGACUUAUAUUCUGUAGCAAGGUUAACCGAAUAGGGGAGCCGAAGGGAAACCGAGUCUUAACUGGGCGUUAAGUUGCAGGGUAUAGACCCGAAACCCGGUGAUCUAGCCAUGGGCAGGUUGAAGGUUGGGUAACACUAACUGGAGGACCGAACCGACUAAUGUUGAAAAAUUAGCGGAUGACUUGUGGCUGGGGGUGAAAGGCCAAUCAAACCGGGAGAUAGCUGGUUCUCCCCGAAAGCUAUUUAGGUAGCGCCUCGUGAAUUCAUCUCCGGGGGUAGAGCACUGUUUCGGCAAGGGGGUCAUCCCGACUUACCAACCCGAUGCAAACUGCGAAUACCGGAGAAUGUUAUCACGGGAGACACACGGCGGGUGCUAACGUCCGUCGUGAAGAGGGAAACAACCCAGACCGCCAGCUAAGGUCCCAAAGUCAUGGUUAAGUGGGAAACGAUGUGGGAAGGCCCAGACAGCCAGGAUGUUGGCUUAGAAGCAGCCAUCAUUUAAAGAAAGCGUAAUAGCUCACUGGUCGAGUCGGCCUGCGCGGAAGAUGUAACGGGGCUAAACCAUG
rnacentral:rRNA from 1 species